rfam:Parcubacteria (Magasanikbacteria) bacterium GW2011_GWC2_42_27 TV18_C0003, whole genome shotgun sequence.
GGAGGGAUGGCUGAGCGGUUUAAGGCGGCAGUCUUGAAAACUGUUGUGGAUGCAAGUCCACCUAGGGUUCGAAUCCCUAUCCCUCCG